UACGUAGGUGGCAAGCGUUGUCCGGAAUUAUUGGGCGUAAAGCGCGCGCAGGCGGUCCUUUAAGUCUGAUGUGAAAGCCCACGGCUCAACCGUGGAGGGUCAUUGGAAACUGGGGGACUUGAGUGCAGAAGAGGAAAGCGGAAUUCCACGUGUAGCGGUGAAAUUCGUAGAUAUCAGGAGGAACACCCGAGGCGAAGGCGGUUAUCUGGCAAUGCAUUGACGCUGAGGUGCGAAAGCGUGGGUAGCAAACAGG
rnacentral:rRNA from 1 species